GUGAAUCAUCAAAUCUUUGAACGCAAAUUGCGCUCCCUGGCAUCCCGGGAAGUAUGCCUGUUUGAGGGUCAGUUUUAAUAAGAAAUCGGGUUAGUUACAAAUUGUGACGUUUCCGGGGGUGGGGCUAUCUUAACAGUUUGGGUUACGAUGCUUAAAAUUGACCUUUUUUUCGCAUUUUUAGACGGAC
rnacentral:misc_RNA from 1 species